CUGUUUUGAAAUGGAGCCCUGCUCCUGCCAAGGUAAACAAUACUGAGACUUUCUUUCCUCUGCAGCCGCCAGUGGAAGCACAGAGGAGCAUGGCUCCAAGUGACAGCUUCUACCCCAGCCAGCUGCUGCCAGCCAUUGGCUUCUAGAGGAGACCUAAACAGGAGUUCCACCAGAAAAUGGAAAAUAACAUUCUUGGCAUUCCAACAGUUGGGAACACAGAAAGCACUACACUGUGCAAGAAAAAUGCAGUAUUUUAUAUCUGACCAUGGUCAAACCUGAAUACUCCAGAGGAAAGCAGACAGCCUCUAGUAAUGAACCUGAUUCUACAUCUCACUUUGGGUAAAUCUGGGAACUCCAAGAGUAUGUUUGACCUCUGCACUCAGAAGAUGAUGUUCUGCUGCUUUUACAACCUGCCAUGAAACAUGGCAUCUGCCAAUGCAAAACCACACAUCCUUUCACUAGUUCUGACUGUUUCAACCACUGUUAAGGCACUAUUCAUUGCAUCUUCCUACUGAGUGGCAGCACCAUGCAGGUGAGAUGGCCACCUGAGCACAGUGACAGGAGAAGUUGGGCUGCACCAUGCCCCGCUUUCAUUAGACUCCUGGGCAGUACAUGUCCCUCGUGAAACAGUUUAGAUAUACCCACUGGUGCCGGGCUGCAGAAGGAUCCUUGAGAAGGUCUCAGAUUCCAAAGGUUACCUAAAAUCUAAAGGAUCAUUUAAAAUGAAAAAAACUGAAUUAUUUUUUUUUUAAAAAUUCAAUAUUAAGUUGUGAUCAUUCCUACUGGAUGCAUUUGGUUGAACAGAUAUUUAAAAUAACUUCUGAGGAGAGUUCUGUCCAGAUUUGUAGCAAAUCACUUAAAAACAGAAUGAGAGUGGUUUCAAAACUUUUCUGUUGAGGUCAAAAUUUUGUUAUCUUUGUUCAAAUUUAUCAUGAAGUAAUAUAGAUAAUCUUGUGGCCACUCACAUUUACUCAUGAUUUUUCUGGUUACAGGAAGAUAAAAAAACAUUCCAGAAGAAUUUUAUUAUUGAUAAUUCAGCUUGAGACAAACAACCAACUAAGAGACUGAAAAGAAUAGGUUUGUGAAAAAAAGUGUUGAAACCAUGCAUAAUUAUAACACUUUUUAUAUCUUGAACCUGCUAUUUUCUCACUGUAUAGGUCAUUCAUAAAACACAGAUUUUAUCAGCCUAAGUUGUAUCAUUAUUCCACAAUUUUC